CCUACGGGUGGCAGCAGUGGGGAAUAUUGCGCAAUGGGCGAAAGCCUGACGCAGCGACGCCGCGUGAGGGAUGACUGCCCUACGGGUUGUAAACUUCUUUUAUAAAGGAAUAAAGUGAGGCACGUGUGCCUUUUUGUAUGUACGUUAUGAAUAAGGAUCGGCUAACUCCGUGCCAGCAGCCGCGGUAAUACGGAGGAUCCGAGCGUUAUCCGGAUUUAUUGGGUUUAAAGGGAGCGUAGAGGGGUUGUUAAGUCAGUUGUGAAAGUUUGCGGCUCAACCGUAAAAUUGCAAUUGAUACUGGCAGCCUUGAGUACAGUUGAGGUCGGCGGCAUUCGUGGUGUAGCGGUGAAAUGCU
rnacentral:rRNA from 1 species